rnacentral:rRNA from 1 species
GCAGUAGCCGCGGUAAUACGGAGGGUGCGAGCGUUAAUCGGAAUUACUGGGCGUAAAGCGUACGCAGGCGGUUCGUUAAGACAGAUGUGAAAUCCCCGGGCUUAACCUGGGAACUGCAUUUGUGACUGGCGAGCUAGAGUAUGGCAGAGGGGGGUAGAAUUCCACGUGUAGCAGUGAAAUGCGUAGAGAUGUGGAGGAAUACCGAUGGCGAAGGCAGCCCCCUGGGCCAAUACUGACGCUCAUGCACGAAAGCGUGGGGAGCGAACAGGAUUAGAUACCCGCGUAGUCCCUGUCUCUUAUAC